CCUACGGGAGGCAGCAGUGGGGAAUAUUGGACAAUGGGCGAAAGCCUGAUCCAGCCAUGCCGCGUGUGCGAAGAAGGCCUUCGGGUUGUAAAGCACUUUCAGUGGGGAAGAAAGCCUUGGGGCUAAUACCCUCGAGGAAGGACAUCACCCACAGAAGAAGCACCGGCUAACUCCGUGCCAGCAGCCGCGGUAAUACGGAGGGUGCGAGCGUUAAUCGGAAUUACUGGGCGUAAAGCGCGCGUAGGCGGUCUGAUAAGCCGGUUGUGAAAGCCCCGGGCUCAACCUGGGAACGGCAUCCGGAACUGUCAGGCUAGAGUGCAGGAGAGGAAGGUAGAAUUCCCGGUGUAGCGGUGAAAUGCGUAGAGAUCGGGAGGAAUACCAGUGGCGAAGGCGGCCUUCUGGACUGACACUGACGCUGAGGUGCGAAAGCGUGGGUAGCAAACAGGAUUAGAUACCCUAGUAGUC
rnacentral:rRNA from 1 species